rnacentral:rRNA from 1 species
ACAAGCGGUGGAUGAUGUGGUUUAAUUCGAUGCAACGCGAAAACCUUACCCACCUUUGACAUGUACGGAACCUUUAGAGAUAGAGGGUGCUCGAAAGAGAGCCGUAACACAGGUGCUGCAUGGCUGUCGUCAGCUCGUGUCGUGAGAUGUUGGGUUAAGUCCCGCAACGAGCGCAACCCUUGUCAUUAGUUGCUACAUUCAGUUGGGCACUCUAAUGAGACUGCCGGUGACAAGCCGGAGGAAGUGGGGAUGACGUCAAGUCCUCAUGGCCCUUAUAGGUGGGGCUACACACGUCAUACAAUGGCUGGUACAAAGGGUUGCCAACCCGCGAGGGGGAGCCAAUCCCAUAAAGCCAGUCGUAGUCCGGAUCGUAGUCUGCAACUCGACUACGUGAAGUCGGAAUCGCUAGUAAUCGUGGAUCAGAAUGUCACGGUGAAUACGUUCCCGGGUCUU